rnacentral:rRNA from 1 species
UGAAAUCUCACCAGGCCCGGACACUGGAAGGAUUGACAGAUUGAUAGCUCUUUCUUGAUUCGGUGCGUGGUGGUGCAUGGCCAUUCUUAGUUGGUUGAGUGAUUUGUCUUGUUAAUUCCGAUAACGAACGAGACCUUAACCUGCUAAAUAGUGACGCGGUUCAUCGAACCGUGGGCCACUUCUUAGAGGGACUAUCGGAUUCAAACCGAUGGAAGUGUGAGGCAAUAA